rnacentral:rRNA from 1 species
CCUACGGGGGGCUGCAGUGGGGAAUAUUGGACAAUGGGGGGAACCCUGAUCCAGCCAUGCCGCGUGUGUGAAGAAGGCCCUCGGGUUGUAAAGCACUUUCAGUGAGGAAGAACGCCUGGUGGUUAAUACCCAUCAGGAAAGACAUCACUCACAGAAGAAGCACCGGCUAACUCCGUGCCAGCAGCCGCGGUAAUACGGAGGGUGCGAGCGUUAAUCGGAAUUACUGGGCGUAAAGCGCGCGUAGGUGGCUUGAUAAGCCGGUUGUGAAAGCCCCGGGCUCAACCUGGGAACGGCAUCCGGAGCUGUCAAGCUAGAGUGCAGGAGAGGAAGGUAGAAUUCCCGGUGUAGGGGUGAAAUGCGUAGAGAUCGGGAGGAAUACCAGUGGCGAAGGCGGCCUUCUGGACUGACACUGACACUGAGGUGCGAAAGCGUGGGUAGCAAACAGGAUUAGAUACCCCAGUAGUC